rnacentral:lncRNA from 1 species
CCGCCCCGCCCGGGGGCCGCAGGGGUUCUCGGCGCGCCGACGGCCGGGGCGGCGGCGGACGGACGGGCUGGACGGACGGACGGCGGCUGAUCGCCCCGCGGGCCUCCCAGGAGAGGGGACUGUUCAUCUCGAGGUGGCACCUGGCCGGCCGUGGGACCAUGACGCUGCUCUGGGAGCCCGUGGAAGCCUGGCUAGUGCUGGCCCUGGCCUUGGCGCUGGCCCUGGGCCCCAGUGUGGGUGUAGCUGCCCCGAGGCAGGACUGCACGGGUGUGGAGUGCCCGCCGCUGGAGCACUGCAUCGAGGAGGCGCUGGAGCCGGGCGGUGCCUGUGACCG